GGCGGAGCGUCGUUUGCGACGCCCAACACACAAAACAAGCGGUGAGUGCUUUGGGGUGGGGUGACUGCGUACCUUUUGUAUAAUGGGUCAGCGACUUAUAUUCUGUAGCAAGGUUAACCGUAUAGGGGAGCCGAAGGGAAACCGAGUCUUAACUGGGCGUUAAGUUGCAGGGUAUAGACCCGAAACCCGGUGAUCUAGCCAUGGGCAGGUUGAAGGUUGGGUAACACUAACUGGAGGACCGAACCGACUAAUGUUGAAAAAUUAGCGGAUGACUUGUGGCUGGGGGUGAAAGGCCAAUCAAACCGGGAGAUAGCUGGUUCUCCCCGAAAGCUAUUUAGGUAGCGCCUCGUGAACUCAUCUUCGGGGGUAGAGCACUGUUUCGGCUAGGGGGUCAUCCCGACUUACCAACCCGAUGCAAACUGCGAAUACCGAAGAAUGUUAUCACGGGAGACACACGGCGGGUGCUAACGUCCGUCGUGAAGAGGGAAACAACCCAGACCGCCAGCUAAGGUCCCAAAGUCACAGUUAAGUGGGAAACGAUGUGGGAAGGCUCAGACAGCCAGGAUGUUGGCUUAGAAGCAGCCAUCAUUUAAAGAAAGCGUAAUAGCUCACUGGUCGAGUCGGCCUGCGCGGAAGAUGUAACGGGGCUAAACUGUGCACCGAAGCUGCGGCAGCGACGCUUAUGCGUUGUUGGGUAGGGGAGCGUUCUGUAAGCCUGCGAAGGUGUCCUGUGAGGGAUGCUGGAGGUAUCAGAAGUGCGAAUGCUGACAUAAGUAACGAUAA
rnacentral:rRNA from 1 species